AGAAUCAACGCUGGCGGCGUGCCUAACACAUGCAAGUCGAACGAGAAAGUGGGAGCAAUCCCACGAGUAAAGUGGCGCACGGGUGAGUAACACGUGACUAACCUACCCUUGAGUGGGGGGAUAACCUAGGGAAACCUGGGCUAAUACCGCAUAAUACCUACGGGUCAAAGGAGCAAUUCGCUUAAGGAGGGGGUCGCGGCAGAUUAGUUAGUUGGCGGGGUAAUGGCCCACCAAGACAGUGAUCUGUAUCCGGCCUGAGAGGGCGCACGGACACACUGGAACUGAAACACGGUCCAGACUCCUACGGGAGGCAGCAGUGGGGAAUUUUGCGCAAUGGGGGAAACCCUGACGCAGCAACGCCGCGUGGAGGAUGAAGCCCCUUGGGGCGUAAACUCCUUUCGAUCGGGAAGAUAAUGACGGUACCGGAAGAAGAACGCCCGGCUAACUUCGCGCCAGCAGCCGC
rnacentral:rRNA from 1 species